GAAAUUUCUCUUUGCUCGAAAAGCUUGAAUUAUCUUCCUGUCAUAGAUUAGAGUAUAUACCAUAUAAGAUAUGUUACCUCACACAUUUGAAGAAAUUGAGAAUUCAUAAGUGUCCCUUAUUGGAUGGAGGGUGCCUUGCUGAUGUGCACAUCCCAAUCGUAUGGGAGGGUGAUGAAACAUAUGACUCGUCCGAUUCGGAUUAGCAUGAGAGGUUGCAGCGCAGAAAUUUAUCAAAAAGAAGGAUAGCGUCCCUCCACUCCACUCCAGUUCGCCACCAUCUUCCCCGUUAUGUCGCGCGUGUAGAACAAACACCACCCUUUGCCUCCUCGUCUUGCUCAAUCCCUCCUUCAUCUCCUCCAUCACCGCCGCCGGAAGAACCCCCGCAUCCUCUCGAUCGCCUCCUUCCUCUUUGGCCGGGUCCGCCCAGGUCGAUGAUCGGGAAGUUGAGAUUCUCGGAUCCGCCGCUCGAUUCGGAUGUCUCGUGCGGUCGAAUGAAGAAAUCCUGGGGAUUUCGGUGAUCCCGGCGUCCACGAGGCCUUUGACGCCGGCUUUCGAGUCCUUGCUCGCUCUGUCGCAGCUCUCUGCUCGCCGGAGUUGGAGGCCAAAUCGAUGGUAGGCAUUGUUCCUCUCUCUCUCUCUCUCUCUCUCUCUCUCUCUCUCUCUCUCUCUCUACUGCAAUUCAGUUUUCACUGUGAAUGUGUAAUGAGUUUGGAUUAUGAAUUGAAUGUUAUGGAGACAUUUGGAUUAUGAUUUGAGUGUUAGGGAGA